GAUGAACGCUGGCGGCGUGCCUAAUACAUGCAAGUCGAGCGAACAGACGAGGAGCUUGCUCCUCUGACGUUAGCGGCGGACGUGUGAGUAACACGUGGAUAACCUACCUAUAAGACUGGGAUAACUUCGGGAAACCGGAGCUAAUACCGGAUAAUAUAUUGAACCGCAUGGUUCAAUAGUGAAAGACGGUUUUGCUGUCACUUAUAGAUGGAUCCGCGCCGCAUUAGCUAGUUGGUAAGGUAACGGCUUACCAAGGCGACGAUUCGUAGCCGACCUGAGAGGGUGAUCGGCCACACUGGAACUGAGACACGGUCCAGACUCCUACGGGAGGCAGCAGUAGGGAAUCUUCCGCAAUGGGCGAAAGCCUGACGGAGCAACGCCGCGUGAGUGAUGAAGGUCUUCGGAUCGUAAAACUCUGUUAUUAGGGAAGAACAAAUGUGUAAGUAACUAUGCACGUCUUGACGGUACCUAAUCAGAAAGCCACGGCUAACUACGUG
rnacentral:rRNA from 1 species